rnacentral:rRNA from 1 species
UACGUAGGGUGCAAGCGUUGUCCGGAAUUAUUGGGCGUAAAGAGCUCGUAGUCGGUCUGUCGCGUCGGAUGUGAAAAUCCAGGGCUCAACCCUGGACCUGCAUUCGAUACGGGCAGACUAGAGUUCGGUAGGGGAGACUGGAAUUCCUGGUGUAGCGGUGAAAUGCGCAGAUAUCAGGAGGAACACCGGUGGCGAAGGCGGGUCUCUGGGCCGAAACUGACGCUGAGGAGCGAAAGCGUGGGGAGCAAACAGG